UACAGAGGUCCCAAGCGUUGUUCGGAUUCACUGGGCGUAAAGGGUGCGUAGGCGGUUGGGUAAGUCUGUCGUGAAAUCUCCGAGCCUAACUCGGAAACUGCGUCGGAUACUAUUCAACUCGAGGAAUGGAGGGGAGACUGGAAUUCUCGGUGUAGCAGUGAAAUGCGUAGAUAUCGAGAGGAACACCAGUGGCGAAGGCGAGUCACUGGACAUUUCCUGACGCUGAGGCACGAAAGCCAGGGGAGCAAACGGG
rnacentral:rRNA from 1 species